rnacentral:rRNA from 1 species
CACGUAGGGCGCAAGCGUUGUCCGGAAUUAUUGGGCGUAAAGAGCUCGUAGGCGGUCUGUUGCGUCCGCUGUGAAAACCCGGGGCUUAACCCUGGGCUGGCAGUGGAUACGGACAGACUAGAGGUAGGUAGGGGAGAAUGGAAUUCCCGGUGUAGCGGUGAAAUGCGCAGAUAUCGGGAGGAACACCGGUGGCGAAGGCGGUUCUCUGGGCCUUACCUGACGCUGAGGAGCGAAAGCGUGGGGAGCGAACAGGAAUAGAA